rnacentral:rRNA from 1 species
GUGAGGAAUAUUGGUCAAUGGGCGAGAGCCUGAACCAGCCAAGUAGCGUGCAGGAUGACGGCCCUAUGGGUUGUAAACUGCUUUUACACGGGGAUAAAGUGUGCGACGUGUCGUUCAUUGCAGGUACCGUGCGAAUAAGGACCGGCUAAUUCCGUGCCAGCAGCCGCGGUAAUACGGAAGGUCCGGGCGUUAUCCGGAUUUAUUGGGUUUAAAGGGAGCGUAGGCCGUCUGUUAAGCGUGUUGUGAAAUGUAGAUGCUCAACAUCUGAAUUGCAGCGCGAACUGACCGACUUGAGUGCGCAGGAAGUAGGCGGAAUUCGUGGUGUAGCGGUGAAAUGCUUAGAUAUCAGGAGGAACACCGAUGGCGAAAGCAGUCUCCUGGCCAAAUACUGACGCUGAGGUACGAAAGCUAGGGUAGCAAACAGGAUUAGAAACCCCUGUAGUCC